rnacentral:rRNA from 1 species
UACGGAGGAUGCAAGCGUUAUCCGGAUUUAUUGGGUUUAAAGGGUGCGCAGGUUGUUUGAUAAGUCAGUGGUGAAAGUCUGUCGCUUAACGGUAGGAUUGCCAUUGAUACUGUUAGACUUGAAUAUGGAUGAGGUAGGCGGAAUGUGUAGUGUAGCGGUGAAAUGCAUAGAUAUUACACAGAACACCGAUUGCGAAGGCAGCUUACUAAUCCAUCAUUGACGCUGAGGCACGAAAGCGUGGGGAGUCAAG